ACGUUAUAUCUGGUAUUGUGGUUGAAGGAUGUAAUUCAAACCCGACGUCAAUAUCAUGGACCUAAAUCAAACUUAUUCCAUUUGCAAACAACUCUAUUGGACAUUACUGAGCCAUUAUGACCCACAAAUAAACACAAGGAAAAAGUACAUAGAAGGUCCCUCAACUUGUCACCGAGAUAAAAAACGUCCUCGAACCGCAAAACCAGAUAUCGAGG
rnacentral:misc_RNA from 1 species